GAGCUGAGGUAAAGACUCUAGUUGGACUUCGGCAGCAAAAGCAAUAGAAACAAAGUUUGACGCAAAACAGGCAAAAGCAUGCAACACACCGAACGCAAGAGAGAGAAGAAUGAUUUCUACGAUCGUGUCUGCCCACCAUCCCUCGAACCAAAAGAGAACUUAGGAUAAAGAUGUCGAGAGAGAGAUUAUAGUGAACAAAUCUUCAUCGCUCCCAUUGAUGAAAGAAAACACUGAGAAAAGCACUGUCCGAGUCCUUUGUCUCGGUUUCGGUACAACACCGCCACCUAGGGCAAUGUAGGAAACUACCUUGAUUCAAUCAUACAUCAGCAUUGGCAAGGAGGUGCGAUCGUUCAAUGGUUUGUUCACGCUUAACGAGUUUCAGCUCCAUGAACUAUCGUGCUUUCCUUACACUUGGAGGGACCUUUGAAAUUCGGAUCUAGGAAGCUUCUGAUCCAAAAACAGAAAACGCAAAGGAAAAUAUCAAAGGAACACAAGUAAGGAAAUCAAACACAGCUAGAAACAAAGACACUUCUUAUGAGAACUACUGCGUCCCCAAGAGCCAAAAAUUAUGUACACUCAGGCGAGGAGAGAGCAAGACCUCCCUCCGCCCAAGGGGCAAAGGAAGACCUCCAACUAAGGCAAGGAAAAUCAACUACUUUGGCAAGAAAGAAACAACAGACCUCAAAUAUGAAGAGAACUUUCUCUAUGAGGUAGAGAGAUUCCUUUUGCCGAAUAUUAAAUUUCAGUAUAACUAGAAAUUAGUUAUUCAAGAAACAAGAAUGGAAAUGAGAAUAUGAAACAAUUUUAAAAAUUUGUAUUGACUUCGUUAAUUAACUAUCAAUAUAGAUAUAUCAACUAAUUUACUAGUUUCUUUAUAAAAGAAUAGUUGGGUAAUCUAACUGAUAGCUGUUCCCUUAAUUCCUUCUGACCUCAACACUUUUCUUCCUCGUUCCCCCCUAACUCUAAUAUUGAUUUCUUCCUAUUCACAAUACAAGCAUGCGAGCAUCACAAUAUAGGGCCAAAUGUACGACGUACUCUCUGGUUCCUGAAGUCCCUCGUAUGAUGCAUGAUCCAUUUUGGAUUUGCGCAUGCUUAAGGCCUCAAAAGGCGCUUGCUUUUGCUGGAAUGUGU
rnacentral:lncRNA from 1 species